CCUAAAUUAUUAAUAGAUAUAUACUUUAAAUUUGAAGAAUUUGGCGGUGAUCUAGUCUAGUUAGAGGAACCUGUUUUUUAAUCGAUAAACCACGCAUAAUCUUACUUGUCUUAUUAGUUUGUAUACCGUCAUUAUCAGAUAAUUUUUAGAAAAAGAAUUAUUAAAAUUUACAACAAUAAAUUAAAUUAGAUCAAGGUGCAGCUGAUAGAAAAGUUAAAAUGGGUUACAUUAAAUUUAUUUAUUAUGAAAUAAUUAUAAGAAAUAAUAUUAUGAAGGUGGAUUUAAUUGUAAUAUAAGUUUAACAAGCUAGUAAGAUAUAAGCUCUAGAUCAU
rnacentral:rRNA from 1 species